GACGAACGCUGGCGGCGUGCUUAACACAUGCAAGUCGAACGGAAAGGCCCUGCUUUUGUGGGGUGCUCGAGUGGCGAACGGGUGAGUAACACGUGAGUAACCUGCCCUUGACUUUGGGAUAACUUCAGGAAACUGGGGCUAAUACCGGAUAUGAGCUCCUGCUGCAUGGUGGGGGUUGGAAAGUUUCGGCGGUUGGGGAUGGACUCGCGGCUUAUCAGCUUGUUGGUGGGGUAGUGGCUUACCAAGGCUUUGACGGGUAGCCGGCCUGAGAGGGUGACCGGCCACAUGGGGACUGAGAUACGGCCCAGACUCCUACGGGAGGCAGAAGUGGGGAAUAUUGCACAAUGGGAGGAAGCCUGAUGCAGCAACGCCGCGUGCGGGAUGACGGCCUUCGGGUUGUAAACCGCUUUCGCCUGUGACGAAGCGUGAGUGACGGUAAUGGGUAAAGAAGCACCGGCUAACUACGUG
rnacentral:rRNA from 1 species